rnacentral:rRNA from 1 species
AUACGGAGGGCGCAAGCGUUGUUCGGAAUUAUUGGGCGUAAAGCGCGCGUAGGCGGAUUGUUAAGUCGGGGGUGAAAUCCCGGGGCUCAACCCCGGAACUGCCUCCGAUACUGGCAGUCUAGAGGUCGAGAGAGGUGAGUGGAAUUCCGAGUGUAGAGGUGAAAUUCGUAGAUAUUCGGAGGAACACCAGUGGCGAAGGCGGCUCACUGGCUCGAUUCUGACGCUGAGGUGCGAAAGCGUGGGGAGCAAACAGGAUUAGAAACCCCAGUAGUCC